rnacentral:rRNA from 1 species
CCUACGGGAGGCAGCAGUGGGGAAUAUUGCACAAUGGGGGAAACCCUGAUGCAGCGACGCCGCGUGAGUGAAGAAGUAUUUCGGUACGUAAAGCUCUAUCAGCAGGGAAGAAAAUGACGGUACCUGACUAAGAAGCCCCGGCUAACUACGUGCCAGCAGCCGCGGUAAUACGUAGGGGGCAAGCGUUAUCCGGAUUUACUGGGUGUAAAGGGAGCGUAGACGGCAGCGCAAGUCUGGAGUGAAAUCCCAUGGCUUAACCAUGGAACUGCUUUGGAAACUGUGCAGCUAGAGUGCAGGAGAGGUAAGCGGAAUUCCUAGUGUAGCGGUGAAAUGCGUAGAUAUUAGGAGGAACCCCAGUGGCGAAGGCGGCUUACUGGACUGUAACUGACGUUGAGGCUCGAAAGCGUGGGGAGCAAACAGGAUUAGAUACCCCAGUAGUC